ACGGGAGGCAGCAGUGGGGGAUAUUGCGCAAUGGGGGAAACCCUGACCCAGCAACGCCGCGUGAAGGAAGAAGGCCUUCGGGUUGUAAACUUCUUUUACCAGGGACGAUAAUGACGGUACCUGGAGAAAAAGCAACGGCUAACUACGUGCCAGCAGCCGCGGUAAUACGUAGGUUGCAAGCGUUGUCCGGAUUUACUGGGUGUAAAGGGCGUGUAGGCGGAGCUGCAAGUCAGAUGUGAAAUCCCGGGGCUCAACCCCGGAACUGCAUUUGAAACUGUAGCCCUUGAGUAUCGGAGAGGCAAGCGGAAUUCCUAGUGUAGCGGUGAAAUGCGUAGAUAUUAGGAGGAACACCAGUGGCGAAGGCGGCUUACUGGACGAUAACUGACGUUGAGGCUCGAAAGCGUGGGGAGCAAACAGGAUUAGAUACCCUGGUA
rnacentral:rRNA from 1 species